rfam:Agrilus planipennis Contig65579, whole genome shotgun sequence.
AGGAGGGGUUUUAGUCGGAAGGCGCUUCGGCGAAUCCGACACUACUCCCCUUCAGGGGUGUCUUUUGAAGAUUUCCCCUCCU